UGGAUGAUGUGGUUUAAUUCGAUGCAACGACGAAAACCUUACCCACCUUUGACAUGGCAGGAAUCCCGAAGAGAUUUGGGAGUGCUCGAAAGAGAACCUGCACACAGGUGCUGCAUGGCUGUCGUCAGCUCGUGUCGUGAGAUGUUGGGUUAAGUCCCGCAACGAGCGCAACCCUUGCCAUUAGUUGCUACGAAAGGGCACUCUAAUGGGACUGCCGGUGACAAACCGGAGGAAGGUGGGGGAUGACGUCAAGUCCUCAUGGCCCUUAUAGGUGGGCUACACACGUCAUACAAUGGCCGGUACAGAGGGUAGCCAACCCGCGAGGGGGAGCCAAUCCCACAAAGCCGAUCGUAGUCCGGAUCGCAGUCUGCAACUCGACUGCGUGAAGUCGGAAUCGCUAGUAAUCAUGGAUCAGCAUGUCACGGUGAAUACGUUCCCGGGUCUU
rnacentral:rRNA from 1 species